AGCGGACAGAAGGGAGCUUGCUCCCGGAUGUUAGCGGCGGACGGGUGAGUAACACGUGGGUAACCUGCCUGUAAGACUGGGAUAACUCCGGGAAACCGGAGCUAAUACCGGAUAGUUCCUUGAACCGCAUGGUUCAAGGAUGAAAGACGGUUUCGGCUGUCACUUACAGAUGGACCCGCGGCGCAUUAGCUAGUUGGUGAGGUAACGGCUCACCAAGGCGACGAUGCGUAGCCGACCUGAGAGGGUGAUCGGCCACACUGGGACUGAGACACGGCCCAGACUCCUACGGGAGGCAGCAGUAGGGAAUCUUCCGCAAUGGACGAAAGUCUGACGGAGCAACGCCGCGUGAGUGAUGAAGGUUUUCGGAUCGUAAAGCUCUGUUGUUAGGGAAGAACAAGUGCAAGAGUAACUGCUUGCACCUUGACGGUACCUAACCAGAAAGCCACGGCUAACUACGUGCCAGCAGCCGCGGUAAUACGUAGGUGGCAAGCGUUGUCCGGAAUUAUUGGGCGUAAAGGGCUCGCAGGCGGUUUCUUAAGUCUGAUGUGAAAGCCCCCGGCUCAACCGGGGAGGGUCAUUGGAAACUGGGAAACUUGAGUGCAGAAGAGGAGAGUGGAAUUCCACGUGUAGCGGUGAAAUGCGUAGAGAUGUGGAGGAACACCAGUGGCGAAGGCGACUCUCUGGUCUGUAACUGACGCUGAGGAGCGAAAGCGUGGGGAGCGAACAGGAUUAGAUACCCUG
rnacentral:rRNA from 1 species